GUACACUCCUGCGGGAGGCAGCAGUGGGGAAUAUUGGACAAUGGGCGCAAGCCUGAUCCAGCCAUGCCGCGUGAGUGAUGAAGGCCCUAGGGUUGUAAAGCUCUUUCACCGGAGAAGAUAAUGACGGUAUCCGGAGAAGAAGCCCCGGCUAACUUCGUGCCAGCAGCCGCGGUAAUACGAAGGGGGCUAGCGUUGUUCGGAAUUACUGGGCGUAAAGCGCACGUAGGCGGAUCGAUCAGUCAGGGGUGAAAUCCCAGGGCUCAACCCUGGAACUGCCUUUGAUACUGUCGAUCUGGAGUAUGGAAGAGGUGAGUGGAAUUCCGAGUGUAGAGGUGAAAUCCGUAGAUAUUCGGAGGAACACCAGUGGCGAAGGCGGCUCACUGGUCCAUUACUGACGCUGAGGUGCGAAAGCGUGGGGAGCAAACAGGAUUAGAUACCCUUGUAGUCCC
rnacentral:rRNA from 1 species